rnacentral:rRNA from 1 species
AACGAACGCUGGCGGCAUGCCUAACACAUGCAAGUCGAACGAGAUCUUCGGGUCUAGUGGCGCACGGGUGCGUAACGCGUGGGAAUCUGCCCUUUGGUUCGGAAUAACAGUUGGAAACGACUGCUAAUACCGGAUGAUGACGAAAGUCCAAAGAUUUAUCGCCAGAGGAUGAGCCCGCGUAGGAUUAGCUGGUUGGUGUGGUAAAGGCGCACCAAGGCGACGAUCCUUAGCUGGUCUGAGAGGAUGACCAGCCACACUGGGACUGGGACACGGCCCAGACUCCGACGGGAGGCAGCAGUGGGGAAUAUUGGACAAUGGGCGAAAGCCUGAUCCAGCAAUGCCGCGUGAGUGAUGAAGGCCUUAGGGUUGUAAAGCUCUUUUACCCGGGAUGAUAAUGACAGUACCGGGAGAAUAAGCUCCGGCUAACUCCGUGCCAGCCGCCGCCGUAA